rnacentral:rRNA from 1 species
AUUGAACGCUGGCGGCAGGCCUAACACAUGCAAGUCGAACGAGGGGCGGACGGGUGAGUAAUGUCUGGGAAACUGCCUGAGGGAGGGGGAUAACUACUGGAAACGGUAGCUAAUACCGCAUACCAUCAGAUGUGCCCAUAUGGGAUUCGCUUGUUGGUGGGGUAAGGGCUCACCAAGGAGACGCUCCCUAUCUGGUCUGAGAGGAUGAACAGCCACACUGGGACUGAGACACGGCCCAGACUCCUAAGUGAGGCAGCAGUGGGGAAUAUUGUACAAUGGGCGCAAGCCUGAUGCAGCCAUGCCGCGUGUAUGAAGAAGGCCUUCGGGUUGUAAAGUACUUUCAGCGGGGAGGCGUUACCCGCAGAAGAAGCACCGGCUAACUCCGUGCCAGCAGCCGCGGUAAUAC